rnacentral:misc_RNA from 1 species
AACGCACCUUGCGCCCUUUGGUAUUCCGAAGGGCAUGCCUGUUUGAGUGUCAUGAAACCUCACUCCACUUGGGUUUUUGCCUGAGUGGUAGUGUAUUGGGUGUUGCCUUGCCAAAGGCUCGCCUUAAAAGAAUAAGCACCUUGGAUGUAAUACGUUUCAUCCUAUCGGGUGGCUAAUAACCCCACAUAACUCAUGAUCUGGCCUCAAAUCAGGUAGGGCUACCCGCUGAACUUAA